rnacentral:tRNA from 1 species
GCGGAAGUAGCUCAGUUGGUAGAGCGCAACCUUGCCAAGGUUGAGGUCGCGGGUUCGAGCCUCGUCUUCCGCUCCA